rnacentral:tRNA from 1 species
GGGGUUGUGGCUCAGUGGCAGAGCACUUGCCUCGCACAUGUGAGGCACUGGAUUUGAUCCUCAACCCCGCAUAAAAAAUAAAGCAAACAAAAUAAAGAUAUUGUGUACAGGGCUGGGGCUGUUGCUCAGCAGUAGAGCACUCAUCUAGCAUGUGUGAGGCCCUGGGUUUGAUCCUCAGCACCACA